UGGGGAAUAUUGCACAAUGGAGGGAACUCUGAUGCAGCGACGCCGCGUGAGUGAAGGAGUAAUUCGUUAUGUAAAGCUCUAUCAGCAGGGAAGAAAGAGACGGUACCUGAAUAAGAAGCUCCGGCUAAAUACGUGCCAGCAGCCGCGGUAAUACGUAUGGAGCAAGCGUUAUCCGGAUUUACUGGGUGUAAAGGGAGAGUAGGUGGUCAUACAAGUCUGGAGUGAAAACCCACAGCUCAACUGUGGGAAUGCUUUGGAAACUGAAUGACUAGAGUGCAGGAGAGGCAAGUGGAAUUUCUAGUGUAGCGGUGAAAUGCGUAGAUAUUAGGAGGAACACCAGUGGCGAAGGCGGCUUGCUGGACUGUAACUGACACUGAGGCUCGAAAGCGUGGGGAGCAAACAGG
rnacentral:rRNA from 1 species